rnacentral:rRNA from 1 species
AGCGAACGCUGGCGGCAGGCCUAACACAUGCAAGUCGAACGAACUCUUCGGAGUUAGUGGCGGACGGGUGUGUAACACGUGGGAACGUGCCUUUAGGUUCGGAAUAACUCAGGGAAACUUGUGCUAAUACCGAAUGUGCCCUUCGGGGGAAAGAUUUAUCGCCUUUCGAGCGGCCCGCGUCUGAUUAGCUAGUUGGUGAGGUAAAGGCUCACCAAGGCGACGAUCAGUAGCUGGUCUGAGAGGAUGAUCAGCCACAUUGGGACUGAGACACGGCCCAAACUCCUACGGGAGGCAGCAGUGGGGAAUCUUGCGCAAUGGGCGAAAGCCUGACGCAGCCAUGCCGCGUGAAUGAUGAAGGUCUUAGGAUUGUAAAAUUCUUUCACCGGGGACGAUAAUGACGGUACCCGGAGAAGAAGCCCCGGCUAACUUCGUG